AUGGCGGCCGCUGCUUCCUCCAGCGCGUGGAAGGCGAGGUGGCUCCGCCCCGAGGCGUACCCGAUCUUCGCGGCGACGGGCGUAGCCGUGGGGAUCUGCGUCAUGCAGCUGGUGCGCAACAUCACCACCAACCCCGAGGUCCGGGUGACCAAGGAGAACCGGGCGGCCGGGGUGCUGGACAACCACGACGAGGGCCGCCGCUACGCGCGCCACCCCUUCAGGAGGUUCAUCGACGGCAAGUCCGCCGAGAUCAUGCCCGGCAUCAACAGCUUCUUCACCGACCCACCAAAGAACUAG
rnacentral:rRNA from 1 species